GGGUGCACAUGUGAAAAUAGGUGAACUAGCAAAUGAAUAAACUAUGGGCCUAAAGCCCAUUACCAACAAAACCUAAACUAAUUGUAUCAUAAUAAUAAUAGAUAAAUUAAAAACAAUAUGAAAAAUAACAAGAUAAUUACAAAAAAAAUGGUACUGCUUAUGGCAAGGGAGCAACGGUAUUUGGAGAGUAGGAUUUCAAAUUCAAAAUCUUCGAAUCAGCCUUUGACACAUGGCAUUGAUAGAAAAUGACAAAAAAUCUCAAAACCAGUAUGCAGUUAACUGAAAACAAGAAGGAAAACAUGAAAUCUUCUCUCUCUCUCUUCGAUACACUUGCAGAAGUAGGACAUAAUAAGUUUAUCUUCCAAGCACCUCCUCUCUCACUCGCGUAUCUCUCUCAAAUUUCAUGACUUAGUUUUAUGGUGGAUGUGGUGGCCAGAAAAGUUAUGCAGUUGAAGCGUGGCUCCCACUGUGGCCGAUGUUAGAGGAGAGUAGAAGAGCAAGGUUAUUGUGUGAGUUGCGGUUUGGAAGCGAAAAUGGAUGGGGAUAGCUUCGUACAUAGUUGCCGGUAAGGUUAAGAUUAAGAUGAUGAUUCUGACGUGGCUUAUGGUUGGUUUUUUUGUGGGUUGUAGGAGGUUGUAUAUAUGGUUUAGUUGAAGGUGGAGGUGUUGCUCUUUGCAGCGUUUAUAUUUAGUGUAGGAAGUUUGAGAGUUUUAAUGGUGAGGCUGAAGAAGGUGUGUUUGAAGAGAGAUUUGGAGGUGUGAAAAUGGUGGAGGGUUUCACUGUCGAAGUUGUUGUUUGUGUUGUCACAUUUUUUUUCUUUUUAGGGAAGAAGGGAGGGAAGAUGCAGAGAGAAAGAAUAUGGUUUGUGUGUAUAGUUUAGAUGGAGAGAUUUAGUUGUGUUUAUGGUUUGUGAUGGAAAAGUUUGUUUUCAUGGUUUGUUAUGGUUGUGUGAAAAGUAAAUGAAAUUGAGUGUGUUGUCUUGUAUAGUUUGUUAGUUUUGUUGAUAAUAUGGUUCAGAAGUUGUCGGUUAGGAAACAUGAUUGACAGGUUAUGGCGGCGAAGGAAAAACUCAUGGUGGUGAAAAUAUGAGGUGAUUGUUUUGAUGAGUUUUAAAGGUUGUUACAAGUGUGGAGGAGGUUGGUGUUUGUUGAGG
rnacentral:lncRNA from 1 species